UUAUAUGAGAGUUUGAUCCUGGCUCAGGACGAACGCUGGCGGCGUGCCUAAUACAUGCAAGUCGAACGCACAGAUAUUAACAGAAGCUGCUUGCAGUGGAAGUUAAUUGAUGUGAGUGGCGGACGGGUGAGUAACACGUGGGUAACCUACCCAAAAGU
rnacentral:rRNA from 1 species